rnacentral:lncRNA from 1 species
AGGGACAAAUGCCAAAAUCUACCUAUUGGAACUGGAUCGUUGGAAUACAAUCUCCUCAAAAGGUCCUCGUGGAGAAGCUCAAAAUAUGGUGAAACCUUAAGCUACUUCAACUCUUCCACUACUGCCUUCUCUAUCUCUGUCACCCCAGGAAGAUCUAGGAGCACAGACUUCAUUGGCGUACUCCACUUAGUCGCAAAUCCCCAUGAGGUCGAGGAUGAUAUAAAGAAAAAUUGACUCUUUCAGUUAUGGAUGGAAAAGGAAUGGAAAGAA